UUAGCCAGGCAUGGUGACACAUGGCUGUAAUUCCACCUACUUGGGAGGCUGAGGCAGGAGAAUUGCUUGAACCCAGAAGGCAGAGACUCCAGUGAGCCGAUAUUCUGCCACUGCACUCCAGCCUGGCGACAGAGCGAGACUCCUUCUCAAAUAAACAAAAACAAAA